AGUGUGAAACGGCGAGAGAUUCCUCACCUCACUACUCACCUCACCUCAUCCAUAUCUGAAACCUUGAAGUGUGAAACAGCGACUCGGCGAAAGAUUCCUAAAUUUUAUCCCAUUCCAUCACGACAUUAUCAUCAACCUUUUCAACUUGUUUGGGUCAAAUGGAUCAAGGGAACACAACUCCGGAACCAGAAGGAACGUCUAAUCCUACACAAGAAAGUACAUGUCCACCAACUCAGGAGGUAUCUUCUAAUCCGAGUUUGACACCUAAUGUUGGGCAACAAGAACAAGAAGAAAUUGAUACAGGCUUAGAACCUGCAUCAUAGAAACUAAGAAGUAAUGUGUGGCAAGAAUUUAAAAAGACAAAAGUGAAUGGACAAGAUAAGGGUGAAUGUAUAUGGUGUAAAAAACAACUUAGUGGCACUUCAAAGAAUGGAACAAAUCACUUGAAAGGACAUCUCUUGAGAUGUAUUCAAAAAAAGAUCAAGAAUAGAAACCAUGACAAAAGACAACCAUUUCUCCUGCCUACUAUUUCAGAAGGAAAGCAAGAAUUGGGAAUUGGAACUUAUAAUUCAAAAAAUGUGAAGAAGUUGAUUGCCGAAGCUAUUAUUAUGCACGAUUAUCCACUAUCAAUUGUGGAUCUCGUUGGUGUUAGAAGAGUAUUUGUUUCUCUCCAACCAUUGUUUAAAGUUCCUACUAGAAACACAAUCAAGAAGGAGGUAAUGAAAGUUUAUGAUUUUGAGAAAAAAUGUGCUAUGAAGAUGUUAGAUAGCCAUGAAGGAAGAGUGGCGGUUACCACAUAUAUGUGGACUUCAAGCAACCAAAAAAAAAGGGUAUAUGGCGGUUACGGCUCACUAUAUUGAUGGCUUAUGGACUUUACAGAGUCGAAUAUUGAGGUGAAAUGGAUCAAGUGAACACAACCUCGAAACUGGAAGAAAAAUCUAAUCCUACACAAGAAAGUACAUCAAUUAAGACUAUGUUACCUUGUUGUUGUUGGAAAGUUGUAAUUUGAUUGUAGACUUUAAUUUUAAUUGUAAUGUUAAGAUGUUGAAGACUAUGUUAAGAUGUUUGUGAUUGAAUUUCCUUGGAGACUAUGUUAAGAACUUAAUUUUAAUUGUAAUUUCUUUGAGAGACCUUGAUGGAAUUCCUGUGUUUCAAAUUUCAAUAUUGCUGUUGUAUUUUCUUGUGUUUUUUACUGCGGGUUCGGGUUUGGGUGAAAAAAUAUGAAUCCAACGGAUAUAGACGCAUGUGUUAUUUUGCCACCCGAAUAGCCUUUGUGUUCGGGUUGAGAUUUCGGGUGCGGGUUUGGGUAGUGUGAAACCCGCACCCGGGCACCCGUUAUCAUCUCUAAAUCAAAUAGAGUUUAAAUACUAGAUAAUUAAAAAAAUCUUUAUUAAUAUAAAAUAUUAUAUAAUAAUAAAAUAAUAAUAAAAUAGUAAUAUUAUAUGAUAAAAACAACUUGGAUGGCUCAGUUAUCCUUCAUUAAUGACAUGUGGAAGAUAAAUUUAUAUAAUUGAAAGGAGAGAGAAUAAUAAAUAUUUAAGGAUAUAAUAGGAAAAACAGCAUUAAUUAUUUAUUGGAAUUGUAAAACGACUUAUAUUUAAAUACAAAAUAUUUUUCCAAAGCGACUUAUAAUAAAAAAACGGAGGGGAGGGAGUAAUUAAUUAUUGGACGGUCACAUAUUUUUCCUUUAGAAAACUCACUAAGUCGUGGAUUUGGUGAGAUUGUACUAAUGAUUCUAUCAAAACUAUCCAAAUUAUGAAAUACUUUCUUAGUAAGUCUAUGGCUUAAAUCAGAAAGAUAGAUUUUGGGACCAAACUAAUCAACUAAAUGAUGAAAUUAAUUAAUUAAAAAACACAUUCACGUUAGACGGUUCCACUCCACACAUUCAAAUACUAAAAUGAUUAAUUACUUAAAAUAAAAAGCUGUUCAAGAGUCCGGAGGCAGUAUCCAAACAGCACGUCUCUGUCUUUUAAGUUCAUAUCAAGUCGGCUAAAUUUGUUUGAUUGCUCAAAUUGUUAAUAAAUUUAUUUUCCAAAUAAAAAGGACAUGAUUAAUACACAAAAGUCAAGAAUUAGACGUAACCAAAUGGACGCUAUUCUAAUAGUAUAUUUUAAUUG